CAUGUAGGCGGAUCAUCAGGUGUCUUGUGAAAGCCCUCGGCUCAACCGAGGAACGGCUGGGCAAACCGAUGAUCUUGAGGCAGGUAGGGGCAACGGGAACUCUUGGUGGAGCGGUGGAAUGCGUAGAUAUCAAGAGGAACGCCAGAGGCGAAGGCGCGUUGCUGGGCCUGUCCUGACGCUGAGAUGCGAAAGCGUAGGUAGCGAACAGGAUUAGAUACCCUGGUAGUCC
rnacentral:rRNA from 1 species